CGACGUAGUUGAUCCUGGCUCGAGGACGACGCUGGCGGCGUGCCUAACACAUGCAAGUCGAACGGGGUAAAGACUUCGGUUUUACUUUGUGGCGAACGGGUGAGUAACGCGUGGGUAACCUGCCUCACACUGGGGGGAUAACAGUUAGAAAUGACUGCUAAUACCGCAUAAGCGCACAGUGCCGCAUGGCACGGUGUGAAAAACUCCGGUGGUAUGAGAUGGACCCGCGUCUGAUUAGCUAGUUGGUGGGGUAACGGCCUACCAAGGCGACGAUCAGUAGCCGACCUGAGAGGGUGACCGGCCACAUUGGGACUGAGACACGGCCCAAACUCCUACGGGAGGCAGCAGUGGGGAAUAUUGCACAAUGGGGGAAACCCUGAUGCAGCGACGCCGCGUGAGCGAUGAAGUAUUUCGGUAUGUAAAGCUCUAUCAGCAGGGAAGAAAAAUGACGGUACCUGACUAAGAAGCACCGGCUAAAUACGUG
rnacentral:rRNA from 1 species